rnacentral:tRNA from 6 species
GUCUUUGUAGUAUAAUUUAAUACCCUGGUCUUGUAAACCAGAACUGGAGAACACCCGCUCCCCAAGACA